rnacentral:lncRNA from 1 species
AAAACAUAACCCGGUCCGGUCGAGCGUCACUAGCCAGAUAAAGCUAGCUGGCUGCUUAUAACCUUAGCUUUGGUCAACAGGGUUAAGUAGCUGGCUAGCUAUUUAUUUUCAUGAACUGAAGUUCAAUUUCAAUUGGCAAACAACAAGUGGCUACCUAGCUAAAACGUACUCACAAGGAUUCCUUGUUAAGGAUAAUGAAAAUGACUGCAGUUUCUACUGGUCGUUGUUUUCAGGCUGGUUGUAUUGGUGCUAGCUAGGUACCACGCUAAAGCUAGCUAGCUACCCCAGAAGAUGCAGUCAAACAAAUAAUGUCUUAUUACCAUCGUGGUAUUGUAAACAUAUCGUUUGUGGCCAUUGUGUGCUUGUUUGCAGACUUUUUUGUACAGCUUUGACAGUGCUACUGAUAGUGGUGGCGCUUGGCUUACACGUGCAAAUUCAUCACACACAACAUUCUAAUAGAAUUAUUCUAUAUGUGUAGGGAAGUAUUUAAACACUUGCUUAGGUCCAACCUCUGAUCUUUCCAAGGAUUUUUUAUAUGCCAAACUGGAACCCAAACAAUGCAAAAACUGGGCAUCGACGCGUCGCAACUCCAAUAACCCUUCCUUGAGCCUAUGCCUCUGACAGCACAAUGACUGAUGACUCCCCUUCAGGCUACAGGAAUGGAACCAGGGAACAGUGAGGGAAGGGUUGAGGUUCUGGGAUAAAUUUAUUGGACGGACAGGAAGGGUGCCCACGAUGUCCCGGAGCAGAUGGCGACCCUCUCCUUUGCUGACGUCCGUAGGGAAUUCAAGACCCUUCUUAGCAUUCCUUUAGAGUGCUCCGACAGAUAUGUAGCCUAUGGAACUCUUGAGUGUCACUGUGCAACAUUAACCACACACAUAUUCUUUGUUGUUCUUCGUUAGCUAGCUAGCUUCUUCCAAAAGAGUCCCUAGCAACAGAUGAUGAUGAUGAGUUACUGAUGGCCUGCUUGCUGGUUCCAGAGGCAAGUAGGUAUGGCUGCCGUCUUCCCUCCGUCCCAGGUACUCAUCCAGGCUCCUACAAGAAAGAAGAAAAAGACAAAAGAACAAAAAAUUAUAUUCAACACAUGCUGAAAAGAACAAAAAAUUAUAUUCAACACUUAUGCUGAGCGGGCUUUGAUGAUAGGAUGUUCAAAGGAGUAGGAGGGAAGACAUGUCCCUGUCCCACUGUAAACAAGAAUUGCUGAUAUUAGUUUUGCCCAGCAUCAAAUGAACUCAUCACCAACAGUUCAAGUGCUUUAAGUUCCCUACAAGGACCCCAAGUGAAGACGUUGCAGGCAAAGAUGUCGAGAUUGUCUGCGCUUAUGGAUUGUAGACUCUUUGGGAUAGUUAUGACAACCCCUUCUACCUCAAAAGAUUGUCUUACUACUACAAUAAAUGUAUUUAUUGCAUUGAAUGUGUUUUAUGCACCUGUGUGGUGUGUCAUGUCAUGUGUGUACUCCACCAUUUUACAAAUGAAGUUCUUUGUGGAAAAAUACAGUCAUUUGAAUUAAAUAAUUUGAUUGAACAAAUUCACCUGGAUGGUCAUCGGAUGCUUGCCCCUCUUGCUGGUCCCUGGCAGACCUCAG